GCCAGCAGUUAUAUCACCCUGCGACUCACAACUGGCACAGUUAGAACCCACUGAAGCUCAGCAGCAGUGAGCCUGGCCAGUACCUGGAUGGGAGACCUCCUGGGAAAGCUGAGGUGGCUGCUGGAA
rnacentral:rRNA from 1 species